rnacentral:rRNA from 1 species
UACGUAGGGUCCGAGCGUUGUCCGGAAUUAUUGGGCGUAAAGAGCUCGUAGGCGGCUUGUCACGUCGGGUGUGAAAGCCCGGGGCUUAACCCCGGGUGUGCAUUCGAUACGGGCUAGCUAGAGUGUGGUAGGGGAGAUCGGAAUCCCUGGUGUAGCGGUGAAAUGCGCAGAUAUCAGGAGGAACACCGGUGGCGAAGGCGGAUCUCUGGGCCAUUACUGACGCUGAGGAGCGAAAGCGUGGGGAGCGAACAGG